AGGGUGACAGGCGGUGCAUGGUUGUCGUCAGCUCGUGUCGUGAGAUGUUGGGUUAAAGUCCCGCAACGAGCGCAACCCUCGACCUUAGUUGCCAGCAUUCAGUUGGGCACUCUAAGGUGACUGCCGGCUAAAAGUCGGAGGAAGGUGGGGAUGACGUCAAAUCAUCAUGCCCCUUAUGACCUGGGCUACACACGUGCUACAAUGGGCGGUACAAAGGGUCGCGAACCCGCGAGGGGGAGCCAAUCCCAAAAAGCCGCUCUCAGUUCGGAUUGCAGGCUGCAACUCGCCUGCAUGAAGCCGGAAUCGCUAGUAAUCGCGGAUCAGCAUGCCGCGGUGAAUACGUUCCCGGGCCUU
rnacentral:rRNA from 1 species